rnacentral:rRNA from 1 species
CUUCAGGCCUAACACAUGCAAGUCGAACGCUCCAGCAAUGGAGAGUGGCAGACGGGUGAGUAACACGUGGGAACCUUCCCUUUGGUUCGGAAUAGCCCAGGGAAACUUGGGGUAAUACCGGAUAAGCCCUUACGGGGAAAGAUUUAUCGCCGAAGGAUGGGCCCGCGUCGGAUUAGCUAGUUGGUGGGGUAACGGCCUACCAAGGCGACGAUCCGUAGCUGGUCUGAGAGGAUGAUCAGCCACACUGGGACUGAGACACGGCCCAGACUCCUACGGGAGGCAGCAGUGGGGAAUAUUGGACAAUGGGCGGAAGCCUGAUCCAGCAACGCCGCGUGAGGGAUGACGGCCUUCGGGUUGUAAACCUCUUUCGCCUGUGACGAAGCGCAAGUGACGGUAACAGGUAAAGAAGCACCGGCCAACUACGUGCCAGCAGCCGCGGUAAUACGUAGGGUGCGAGCGUUGUCCGGAAUUAUUGGGCGUAAAGGGCUCGUAGGCGGUUUGUCGCGUCGGGAGUGAAAACCAGGUGCUUAACACCUGGCUUGCUUUCGAUACGGGCAGACUAGAGGUAUUCAGGGGAGAACGGAAUUCCUGGUGUAGCGGUGAAAUGCGCAGAUAUCAGGAGGAACACCGGUGGCGAAGGCGGUUCUCUGGGAAUGACCUGACGCUGAGGAGCGAAAGUGUGGGGAGCGAACAGGAUUAGAUACCCUGGUAGUCCACACCGUAAACGUUGGGCGCUAGGUGUGGGGUCCAUUCCACGGAUUCC